UACGUAGGGUCCGAGCGUUGUCCGGAGUUACUGGGCGUAAAGCGCGCGCAGGCGGCUCGGCAAGCAUGGCGUGAAAGCCCCCGGCUCAACCGGGGAGAGUCGUCGGGGACUGUCGAGCUUGAGGGCGGUAGGGGUUGGUGGAAUUCCCGGUGUAGUGGUGAAAUGCGUAGAGAUCGGGAGGAACACCCGUGGCGAAGGCGGCCAACUGGGCCGACCCUGACGCUGAGGCGCGAAGGCGUGGGGAGCGAACGGG
rnacentral:rRNA from 1 species